UACGGGGGGGGCAAGCGUUGUUCGGAUUUAUUGGGUUUAAAGGGUGCGUAGGCGGUCUUAUAAGUCAGUGCUGAAAUAUCCCGGCUUAACCGGGAGGGUGGCAUUGAUACUGUAGGACUUGAGUAAAGUUGAGGUUGGCGGAAUUGACGGUGUAGCGGUGAAAUGCUUAGAUAUCGUCAAGAACACCGAUAGUGUAGACAGCUAACUAAGCUUUAACUGACGCUGAGGCACGAAAGUGUGGGGAUCAAACAGG
rnacentral:rRNA from 1 species